rnacentral:tRNA from 1 species
AGAAAUAUGUCUGACAAAAGAGUUACUUUGAUAGAGUAAAUAAUAGAGGUUUAAGCCCU